rnacentral:piRNA from 1 species
UCACAAAGAGGAUGAUUGAG